CCAGACUCCUACGGGAGGCAGCAGUGGGGGAUAUUGCACAAUGGGGGAAACCCUGAUGCAGCGACGCCGCGUGUGGGAAGACGGUCUUCUGGAUUGUAAACCACUGUCCCCAGGGACGAAAAUGACGGUACCUGGGGAGGAAGCUCCGGCUAACUACGUGCCAGCAGCCGCGGUAAUACGUAGGGGGCAAGCGUUAUCCGGAUUUACUGGGUGUAAAGGGAGCGUAGACGGCGGCGCAAGUCCGGAGUGAAAGCCCACGGCCCAACCGUGGGACUGCUCUGGAAACUGUGCGGCUUGAGUGCGGGAGGGGCAGGCGGAAUUCCUAGUGUAGCGGUGAAAUGCGUAGAUAUCAGGAGGAACACCGGUGGCGAAGGCGGCCUGCUGGACUGCAACUGACGUUGAGGCCCGAAAGCGUGGGGAGCAAACAGGAUUAGAUACCCGCGUACA
rnacentral:rRNA from 1 species